AUCACUUGGGAAUCUUGUUAAAAUGCACACUCUGAUUCCAGUGAUCUGAGGUAGGACUUAAGAUUCUGUAUUUCCAACAAGUUCCUGGGUGAUGCUGA
rnacentral:pre_miRNA from 1 species